GGAGGAAAGUAGGGGAUCGCAAGACCUUGCGCUCUUGGAGCGGCCGAUGCCUGAUUAGCUAGUUGGUGAGGUAAAGGCUUACCAAGGCGACGAUCAGUAGCUGGUCUGAGAGGACGACCAGCCACACUGGGACUGAGACACGGCCCAGACUCCUACGGGAGGCAGCAGUGGGGAAUUUUGGACAAUGGGGGAAACCCUGAUCCAGCCAUGCCGCGUGAGUGAAGAAGGCCUUCGGGUUGUAAAGCUCUUUCAGCCGGAACGAAACGGUCACGGCUAAUACCUGUGACUACUGACGGUACCGGAAGAAGAAGCACCGGCUAACUACGUGCCAGCAGCCGCGGUAAUACGUAGGGUGCAAGCGUUAAUCGGAAUUACUGGGCGUAAAGCGUGCGCAGGCGGUUUUGUAAGUCAGAUGUGAAAUCCCCGGGCUUAACCUGGGAACUGCGUUUGAAACUACAAAGCUAG
rnacentral:rRNA from 2 species